rnacentral:lncRNA from 1 species
GGAUCCACCUGCUAAGUUUUGUCCAGUGCGUAAUUUACUCUCGUCCUUAUAUCACAACACGACAUGUGACUCGAAGUUCGAGUUUGAGAUGUCGGCUAUGGUCGUGGGCUCUAAGCUAGGCGGCUGGGAAUCAUAGGGUGAACUUAUGGAUCAUCAUCUCCACAAUUUUUGUAUGUAACCUGGUCCCCUUUUCUCGAUAGUGUUUUAAGUUACAUUAUUACACAUUUACACCUAUGAGUAGGUGGUGCGAUAUUUUCUGCGGGUAUUUCACUGUACUUAAUGGUUCAAUUAUUGCGUUCAUCUUGACCAAUCUUGUUGUCGGUCGAUAUUUUUUCUUUCUUCAAUAUUUUUCGUAUUUGUGUGACACAUUUUUUUGCUUGCCAAGUGUCAUGUUGAUAUAAAUAAUUGUCAAGCCUAAUUAAGAAACUUUUAUGAUAUUACAGAAACCACGAUUCAUAUGAAACAUAUGAGUGUCUCUUAGUUAUGGCCUAUGGGAAACGCUUAUCACUAUCAUGUCAGUAUGUCACUAUGUUGAUCUUACAAACCGAUUGAAAUUUUAUCAUAUAGCAUAUAUCAAUACGUCCCUGUUAAUGACCUUGUCAUAAAAUUAAAAUAAAUAAACUCCAAAUUAGCUAGCUUUGAAUCAACUGAUACUAGUUUUUUUACUGUAGAUGUGAAAGCUAGUAAUUGCUGAAUAAAAUGAAAACAACUUUCUAUGAAACUAAAGGAGAGUAUGUUUCUAGAAUUGUAAUGCACAUAUAUAUAUUAAAGUUCAAUAUAUACGUGUGUGUGUAUCUGGUUGUUCAAUACAAACAUGGAAAUAAGUAUAAAAGAUUUGAUAAAAAUUUAGUAAAAAAAAAAGAUUUGAUAAAAGGGGUUUUUGCCAAAACUAACCCACAACUUGAUUUUAAUCCCAAACCUAUACCCAAACUUGAAUCAAAUGCAAAACUAACCUAAAAGCCUAGUGAAAUUACAGCUCAGCCCCUUGUGACCAAACAAAAAAACAGAAGCCAUUUUUACGAAUAUAGCCCCAUUAAAUCGUCUGAGUCGUCUGAGAUGUUGGAAGUCGUCUGGACGACUGAAGUGUAAGUCGUCUGGUACCAGUUUAUUUUAAAAAUAAUUUAUAAAUCUUGUAAAAAAAUAUUUUGAUGCGUAAAAAAUAAAAAUCAAGUAAUUAUAAACAGUUUUAACUAAUAUAAAUUAAGAUAUGAUAAAAUUGAUUUGUUUUGAAGAUAGAUGAGUGAAAGUAGUGAAUCAUGAAAUACUUUGGUUUAGGAGUUUGGCAAACAUAUGUUGUAGUAUUGUAUGUAUUGUUAGGGUUAGAUUUUGGAAAACUAAAAUAUUUUUUUCAAAAAUUAGUUUUCACCUAUAUGUGUUUAUUUUUGUGUAUAGUAAACACUUUUCAAGUUUGAUUUGGUUUUAUGAAGUGUUUAAUUAGAUAAUUAAGUUUAGGGGUUAUGUUUAGGGUGUGGACGACUUAUAUUUCAGUCGUCUGUUGAAUAAUUUACCCGGACGACGUAUAUUUCAGUCGUCCAGACGACUUACUUGUAAGUCGUCUGGGAAGUCUUCUAUUUUAGUUUCCCGCUAAAAAUAUUUAAUUUCCCGCUAAAAAUAUUAAACUCUUCUGGACGACUUACAUGUAAGUCGUCUGUUUUAAUUUCUUCACCAGACGACUGAAAUGUAAGUCGUCCAGGAAGUCGUCUGAGUCAAAAAUAUUUAAUCUAAUUGGAUUUUUUGUCUCCCUAUAAAAAGAAAAAUUUACACAUUCUCUCUCCUCCUCUCAAAUGGCUGCAACAAAAAUGUAAUGUUCAUCAUUCUAAAACUCUCCAACCUCUCUCUAAUUUCUUUGACUUCAAAACACCAAACUUUAUAUGAAUUUUUCAGUUUUGUCUCAUGUAUUUCUUACUAAUCUAUCUCUUUUGCAGGUUUUUAAUCAAAUGGUACUCAUCUUCCACUAAUUUAGAGGUAGAUCUAUUAAUUUUAGAUAUGUAUUUUUGUGUGUUCUAUAAAUGUAGAUUUAUCUAAUCUUCCACUCAUUUUCUCUAUUUUUAAGUCAUUUGAACGUUUUUGGAUAUGCAGGUUUUUCAGAUCUGGAUUUGAUGUGCAG